UUUUUUUUUUUUUUUUUUUUUUUCCUGCCACAGGUUUAUUUGUACAAAUAGCACAGGAGGACACCAGGCCCAUGCAGACAGAAGCCCAGGGUUCAUACCAGUCCUUCUGUCCUCACACUGGCAGGCAGAAGCCUCUACACUGAAGCCUUUGUGGGGGCCUGGGCACCUUUGGGAGCCUGCGCUGCAGGAGUCGAAGUAGGAGCCGGAGCUGGGGUCACAGCUGCAGCCUGGGCCUUGGUUUGAGCCUUGGCCUUGGCCUUUGGCCGGCAGAGCCUGAGACCUUUGGCAAUGCGGCACGAGCACGUUUCCCGAGCUUGGGGUGAGCAAUGUAGGCAAGUCGAUUGAGCUUGCGGCUGCCGCCCUUUGGGAUCUUGGGCUUAGCCUCCUUGGGCUUGACAAGGGCCUUGAUAGCCUCAGCAUGCACCGUCAUGGCCUUGGCAUUGUUGGCCUGCAUAUUCUUCAGGCCCUUCUUGUUGUGCUUCUUGGCAAAGCGCAUGUUCCUCAGGAACUUGGGGUCUACCCCCUUAAAAGAUUCGUAUCUUUGUGACCGGAGUUUCUUGAUGACAUUUCUGUGCCAUUUUCGUGACUGGUUGUGUGUGGUGUGGCUCUUGGACUUGGCCAUGUCUGUACCAAAGCCCGCGGCUCCCCAAGCAUCCUCAGACUCUAUGUUUAAAAUUUAUCAUGUAUAGCAAAUAUGUGGAAAUUUGUCUAGCUCCUGAAUUAUUGUUACCAAGGAUCAAUCAAAUCAGCUUGUGUAAAGGGACUAUCAUGACGCCUAAUACAUAGUUUUGAAUACUUAUGGAUAUUAUUUUAAUGACUGGCUCAUCUCUGAAAUGAUGCCUUAAUAAGAAGUUCUUUCAGUUAGGGACAAGUAUAUUAAUGCUUGCUGUCCUGGUGUUAGCUGAUUUUCCAUAAACUUGUCAAAAUAAAUGAUGGAUAGGUGGCUGGACAAAUUAGUGGGUGGGUCCAACAACAUUAGAGUAGGGAACUUUCUUGAGAAAUUCAGGAUAAGAAGUACGAGCGAUCAUCCAUUCCUAUCUACAAGUACCCUCCACCUGCCCCUCUCUUCCAGACCCCACAUCUUUAACACAAAACUACUCCCCAUCAUAUGUACAUGAGUAAGUAGAGCAGUUCCCACUGCUCAGGAAUCUGUGGGCAGCAUGCAGUUCUCUUCCGACUACUUUCUCCACCUCACAAAGAAUGCCUUGUUAUUCCACAUGGAGUACUUGCCUUCGCUUAUUUGAAAACAUUCCAGAGUUUUAGGCCAUGAUAUGCAUCCGUUUAACUUAAUCAUUUUACCUUUUAUUUUUCUUCUUAAAUAAAUUGAGAUUUAGGUAUAUGUAUUUAAUAUCAUAAUAUGAAAACAAAAUAUAAUAUACUAUAAAGAAAUGUAUAAAGGAAUAUAGGCAGGUCCAACUGACAAUGAUUCAACUUAUGAUUUUUUGACCUUAGUGCAAAAGCAAUACGUAUCUGAUAAAAACUGUACUUUGAAUUUUGAUUUUUUUCCCCUGGACUAGUGAUAUGCAGUAUGAUACUCUUGCCUGAUGUUAGACAGUGGCAACAAGCAGCAGCCUCAAGUCAACCUUGCAAUUCCCAGAAUAAACAACCUAUAUACUCACAACCAUUCAUAUCUUACUUUCAGUAUAGUAUUCAAUAAAUUAUAUGAGAUAUUCAACACUUAGCUAUAAAAUAGAUUUUGUGCUAGAUGACGGUACCCAACUGUUCUGAGUAUGUUUAAGUUGGCUAGGCUAAACUUUGAUGUUGAGUAGGUUAGGGGUAUUAAAUGUAUUUAUAUGUUAUUUAUAAUAUAUAAAAGUAUUUAUAUAAAUAUAUAUUCCUUCAUAUAUUAUAUAUCUAUAUAUGUAUAGAAAAGAAGAAACUUCCAUAUCCCACAUGGGAAAGGCAUCUAGUUCCAGAAACCAGUUCUACCCCUUCCCAAGCCUUUGGUUACCUGUCCACAGGGGAGGAAGACUAACUCAUCUAAUUGGUAAAAAUGGGAAGAGGAAAUGAACAAGGGGAACUCUCUCUCCAGUCAUGCCUUGGGGGCCUGGGUCUACCUGUGACUGAGUGCCUGACUUUCACUGGGGGAGGGGAAGUUCAAGGGGUGACAUAGAGUGUAAUGAAGGUGAUAUUUUGAGCUCCAUUAUCUGGUUCUUUCACUGCUGGUUUAUACUUCAGCCUGAAAACAGAAUGGGGUUAUUCUUUGGUCCUUUAUAUGCCCUUUGUGAGAUCCAAAUUACUAUUCUACAAUAUACCUAUCUCCUAAUAUGUUGUGAAUGAUUUUCCCUGUCAUUAAAUAUUAUUUCUUCUAUAACACCAUCUUUAAUUGCUAUUCAGCAUUUUUAUUGUAUGAUGCUUUAUACCUUAUUGAGCCAGUCUUCUAUUAUUAGAGAAUUGAAAUUUUAAAAAAAUUAAGUUGCUGCAAUUAAGUUUGUAAAUAAUACAAACCUAUAAUAUCCUUUCAAUACCAUUCUGUUCACUUACUGAGGAUGAAUUCUUUUUUGUUUUUUUUGUUUUUUUUGUGAGGAUGAAUUCUUAAAAGAACACUGGCUAGGUCAACAUAUGUGAACAUCUGAGAUAUUUUUUAAUGUACAGAGCAAAGUUGUCUAGAAAAUUUGGGCCAUUUUAUGCUUCCCCUACAAGCACAUUAGAGUAUCUGUUUCUUUGAACAUUUACUAGAGUUAAGAAAUGGAAUUAAAACAAUAUGUCAUAUUUCACUUCUUAAGAUUUUAUAUGCUUUAGGUAGUGGAAAAAGCCAGGGUGCAUCCUUUGUUUGGAAGGCACUAUUUGACUACAGUUUGCCCAAGUGUGAAAUGCCAUAUUUCCUCAAAUCAAGUUACCUAAUCUCUUGACAUUAACAAAUAUUAGCAUUUUAAAACCUGUUUUGAAAUUAAGACAAAAGCAAACAUCAUUGCUAAUGUACAUCUGAGGGAGGAAGGAGAAAGAAACCAUGGAAACCAGCAGAGGAAUUAAAAUGGCAACGAAGAAUUAGACACCAGAAUAGAACGAGCAAUAGGCCAGAUGAGGAUUUUAAUUGGAACCAAUUUGACAAGAAUUAUAAGGUG
rnacentral:lncRNA from 1 species